AAUACUUUGAAGCUGUUUCAAUAGCAGCUCAACUACGCCUUUACAAUUUAUAGGGGUUAGAUUAUUGAGCUGAUGCCUAAUGGCAGCUGACGGCACACAACUUUGUUUUAAAAUGAAUGGAUGGGAGGGGGUGGGGGUGGGGGUAGGCAGUUCAAGAGUUGUAUGAAGAACAUUUUGUAGUACCAUUCCACCUUUAAGAGAAAUGUUGUUGGUCUUAUUGGUUCUCUGAAAUUAAUACCUUCCUGUUUGUUCUUUCUUUUUUUAU
rnacentral:lncRNA from 1 species